CCCAUGUCUAAAGCCUCCAGAAGAUAUCCAAAUUUUGCUUCAGCCUGUUCAGGGGAGAUGCCAACAAUUUCCAAAACCUUUUGUUGGACUUCACGUUUAUAAAUUCUCAAACUUCCUCCACCAAUCUCAACCCCAUUGUAAACCAUGUCAUAAGCAAGGGCACGAGCAGAGGGAAGGUCUUCCACGUCUUCAGGUUUGGGUGCCGUAAAUGGGUGAUGCAAAGCCUCAAGCCUUUGCUCUGAAUCAUUCCACUCAAACAUCGGGAAAUCAGUCACCCAUAGAAUGGAAUGCCUGGAAUGGUCAAUCAAAUCCAUCUCAUUGCCUACAAACAUCCUUAGUCGGUCUAAAGUUUUAUUAACUGAUGCAUGACGACCCACUGCAAACAAUAUAAGAUCCCCUGGUCCUGCAGAG
rnacentral:misc_RNA from 1 species